rnacentral:ncRNA from 1 species
CUAGUGUCCCUCCCCGUCACGGUCAAUUCCGUGACCGGGUUUGACAGCCCGCAUA